UACAGAGGUCUCAAGCGUUGUUCGGAUUCAUUGGGCGUAAAGGGUGUGUAGGUGGCGCCGUAAGUCGGGUGUGAAAUUUCGGAGCUUAACUCCGAAACUGCAUUCGAUACUGCGGUGCUUGAGGACUGGAGAGGAGACUGGAAUUCAUGGUGUAGCAGUGAAAUGCGUAGAUAUCGUAAGGAAGACCAGUGGCGAAGGCGGGUCUCUGGACAGUUCCUGACGCUGAGGCGCGAAGGUCAGGGGAGCAAACGGG
rnacentral:rRNA from 1 species